CUACGGAGGGUGCAAGCGUUGUUCGGAAUUAUUGGGCGUAAAGAGCAUGUAGGCGGUUCGUUAAGUCUGAUGUGAAAGCCCGGGGCUCAACCCCGGAAGUGCAUUGGAUACUGGCAAACUUGAGUACGGGAGAGGAAAGUGGAAUUUCGAGUGUAGGGGUGAAAUCCGUAGAUAUUCGAAGGAACACCAGUGGCGAAGGCGGCUUUCUGGACCGAUACUGACGCUGAGAUGCGAAAGCGUGGGGAGCAAACAGGAUUAGAAACCCUUGUAGUCC
rnacentral:rRNA from 1 species